GGGGUCGUGGCCUAGUCCGGUAUGGCGACGGGCUCCAGACCCGUUGGAGCGCUGAUGCAAAGAUAUCCGCUCACA
rnacentral:tRNA from 1 species